AAUAGGAGAAUGACAAAUCAGAUUUUUCCUCUUGAUUUUCAACUUUUUCCUCCUAAAAAAUUCAAAUCCAACUAAAAAUGCUAAAAAUCAGGACAAAAAUUUGAUUUGUCAUUCUCGUAUU
rfam:Gossypium hirsutum cultivar TM-1 chromosome 21, whole genome shotgun sequence